AUUGAACGCUGGCGGCAUGCCUUACACAUGCAAGUCGAACGGCAGCGCGGGAGCAAUCCUGGCGGCGAGUGGCGAACGGGUGAGUAAUACAUCGGAACGUGCCCAAUCGAGGGGGAUAACGCAGCGAAAGCUGUGCUAAUACCGCAUACGAUCUACGGAUGAAAGCAGGGGAUCGCAAGACCUUGCGCGUAUGGAGCGGCCGAUGGCAGAUUAGGUAGUUGGUGAGGUAAAGGCUCACCAAGCCUUCGAUCUGUAGCUGGUCUGAGAGGACGACCAGCCACACUGGGACUGAGACACGGCCCAGACUCCUACGGGAGGCAGCAGUGGGGAAUUUUGGACAAUGGGCGAAAGCCCGAUCCAGCCAUGCCGCGUGCAGGAUGAAGGCCUUCGGGUUGUAAACUGCUUUUGUACGGAACGAAACGGUCUUUUCUAAUAAAGAAGGCUAAUGACGGUACCGUAAGAAUAAGCACCGGCUAACUACGUG
rnacentral:rRNA from 1 species